rnacentral:rRNA from 1 species
AAUAAAAAUAUCUUUGGUUGGGGCAACCACGAAGAAAAAAAAACCUUUGUUCUAAAAAAGAAUAAACAAAUUUAAAAUUUUUGAAAUUUAAAGAUCCAGAAAACUGAUCAAAGAAAAAAGUUACCGCAGGGAUAACAGCGUUAUUCUCUUUAAGAGUUCAUAUUGACAAGAGAGUUUGCGACCUCGAUGUUGGACCGGGGCACCCAAGAGGUGCAACAGCCUCUAAAGGUGGGUCUGUUCGACCUUUAAAGCCCUACGCGAUCUGAGUUCAGACCGACGCAAGUCAGGUCAGUUUCUAUCUA